AUUGAACGCUGGCGGCAGGCCUAACACAUGCAAGUCGAACGAGUGGCGGACGGGUGAGUAAUGUCUGGGAAACUGCCUGAUGGAGGGGGAUAACUACUGGAAACGGUAGCUAAUACCGCAUACCAUCAGAUGUGCCCAGAUGGGAUUGGCUAGUAGGUGGGGUAACGGCUCACCUAGGCGACGAUCCCUAGCUGGUCUGAUCGGAUGACCAGCCACCCUGGGACUGAGACACGGUCCAGACUCCUACGUGAGGCAGCAGUGGGGAAUAUUGCACAAUGGGCGCAAGCCUGAUGCAGCCAUGCCGCGUGUAUGAAGAAGGCCUUCGGGUUGUAAAGUACUUUCGGCGGGGAGGCGUUACCCGCAGAAGAAGCACCGGCUAACUCCGUGCCAGCAGCCGCGAUAAUUC
rnacentral:rRNA from 1 species